rnacentral:ncRNA from 1 species
AAAAAAUUAUUAUAGUUUAAAAAUUUAUUUAAAAAUUUAUUUUACAUAUAAAUUUUGGUGUAAUUUAAUGUUAUUUAAAAAAUAAUUUUUGUAAUAUAAUUUAGUAAUUAGUAUUAAAUAUUUAAGAAAUUAAGAUUUAGUAAUAUUUAAAUUAAUAACAAAUUUUGUGCCAGCAGUUGCGGUUAAACAAAAGUUAAAUUGAAUUUUAUUAGUUAUAAUUAGUAAAUUUAUAUUAUAUAAUUUUAAAUGUUAAAUUUUUAAGUGAAAUUUUAAUUUAAUUGAAUGUUAUUAUUUAUUUAUGAUUUAAUAAAUUUAUUUAAAAACUAGGAUUAGAUACCCUAUUAUAAAAAUUUAAAUUAUUAAUACUAAAGUAUUAGGUAGAUAUUUAUUGAAAUUUAAAUAAAAUGGCGGUAUUUUAGUUUAUUUAGAGGAAUCUGUUUAAUAAUUGAUAAUCCACGAAUAAAUUUACUUAAUUUAAAAUUUUGUAUAUCGUUGUUAAAAAAAUAUUUUUUAAUAAAAAUAAUAUUUAAAAUUUUUUAUUAUAAGUUAAAUCAAAUCAAGAUGCAGAUUAUAAUUAAGAAUAUAAUGGAUUACAAUAAAUUUAUUUAUAUGAAAAUUAAUUUGAAAUAUUUAAUUGAAAGUGGAUUUAAAUGUAAUUUUAUUUAAGUUAAUAAAAUGAUUUAUAAUUAAAAUAUGUACAUAUUGCCCGUCGCUUUUAUAUAAUUUAAAUAUGAAUAAAUUUAUAUUUAAAUAAAUUAAAAUAAGUCGUAACAAAGUAGAGGUACUGGAAAGUGUUUCUAGAAAGAC